UCAGGAAAGUNUGGAGUAAAAGGCUAUGGCUCAACCAUAGUGUGCUCUGGAAACUGUNUGACUUGAGUGCAGAAGGGGAGAGUGGAAUUCCAUGUGUAGCGGUGAAAUGCGUAGAUAUAUGGAGGAACACCAGUGGCGAAAGCGGCUCUCUGGUCUGUCACUGACGCUGAGGCUCGAAAGCGUGGGUAGCGAACAGGAUUAGAUACCCUGGUAGUCCACGCCGUAAACGAUGAGUGCUAGGUGUUAGGCCCUUUCCGGGGCUUAGUGCCGGAGCUAACGCAAUAAGCACUCCGCCUGGGGAGUACGACCGCAAGGUUGAAACUCAAAGGAAUUGACGGGGGCCCGCACAAGCGGUGGAGCAUGUGGUUUAAUUCGAAGCAACGCGAAGAACCUUACCAGGUCUUGACAUCCCGAUGCUAUUCUUAGAGAUAGGAAGUUACUUCGGUACAUCGGAGACAGGUGGUGCAUGGUUGUCGUCAGCUCGUGUCGUGAGAUGUUGGGUUAAGUCCCGCAACGAGCGCAACCCUUAUUGUUAGUUGCCAUCAUUAAGUUGGGCACUCUAGCGAGACUGCCGGUAAUAAACCGGAGGAAGGUGGGGAUGACGUCAAAUCAUCAUGCCCCUUAUGACCUGGGCUACACACGUGCUACAAUGGUCGGUACAACGAGUUGCGAGCCGGUGACGGCAAGCUAAUCUCUGAAAGCCGAUCUCAGUCCGGAUUGGAGGCUGCAACUCGCCUCCAUGAAGUCGGAAUCGCUAGUAAUCGCGGAUCAGCACGCCGCGGUGAAUACGUUCCCGGGCCUUGUACACACCGCCCGUCACACCACGAGAGUUUGUAACACCCGAAGUCGGUGAGGUAACCUUUUAGGGGCCAGC
rnacentral:rRNA from 1 species